GACGAACGCUGGCGGCGUGCUUAACACAUGCAAGUCGUACGGUAAGGCCCUUUCGGGGGUACACGAGUGGCGAACGGGUGAGUAACACGUGAGUAACCUGCCCACAACUUUGGGAUAACGCUAGGAAACUGGUGCUAAUACUGGAUAUGUGCUCCUGCUGCAUGGUGGGGGUUGGAAAGCUCCGGCGGUUGUGGAUGGACUCGCGGCCUAUCAGCUUGUUGGUGGGGUAGUGGCCUACCAAGGCGGCGACGGGUAGCCGGCCUGAGAGGGUGACCGGCCACAUUGGGACUGAGAUACGGCCCAGACUCCUACGGGAGGCAGCAGUGGGAAUAUUGCACAAUGGGCGCAAGCCUGAUGCAGCAACGCCGCGUGCGGGAUGACGGCCUUCGGGUUGUAAACCGCUUUCAGCAGGGACGAAGCUUUUUUUGUGACGGUACCUGCAGAAGAAGCACCGGCUAACUACGUGCCAGCCGCCGCGGUAA
rnacentral:rRNA from 1 species